UUAUUAUUUCGUCUAACGCUUGACAACAAUGUCGAUAUGUGCCAUUAACUUUAUCAAUUAAACAAUCAAGAGAAGAUGCUUCGGACCUUAAAAACUCAAGCCCCCCUAAAUUUUUUAUUUCAGUAAAAUUUUCCAUUACUUUAUUUGAAGUUUCAGUUAUAUACCUAUUGUCAUUGACGGACUUUAUCUCUUCCAUAAGAGCAAAAAGCUUUUCUGUACCUUCUUUAGUUAAGCAAUCAAUACUCUUCACAGCAGCAUCCAAAAUAUUUUUUUCAUGUUCUUCAAUUAGAUCCAUAAACUCUUUGUCCAAACAUGUCGAAAAAUAUGGAUAAGCAGCCGUUUUAUCCGUCAAAACAUCUGGUGUUAUCGAUUGAACCAUAGUAACUGUAUCCAAUAAAGGAAAUGAGCCUACUGGUAUUUCGGGUUGUAAAUGAAUAAAAU